CAGCAGCCAGGGAAUACGUAGGGUGCAAGCGUUAAUCGGAAUUACUGGGCGUAAAGCGUGCGCAGGCGGUUAUAUAAGACAGAUGUGAAAUCCCCGGGCUCAACCUGGGAACUGCAUUUGUGACUGUAUAGCUAGAGUACGGCAGAGGGGGAUGGAAUUCCGCGUGUAGCAGUGAAAUGCGUAGAUAUGCGGAGGAACACCGAUGGCGAAGGCAAUCCCCUGGGCCUGUACUGACGCUCAUGCACGAAAGCGUGGGGAGCAAACAGGAUUAGAUACCCGUGUAGUCCCUGUCUCUUAUACA
rnacentral:rRNA from 1 species